rnacentral:rRNA from 1 species
GGUUGCGGCCAUAUCUACCAGAAAGCACCGUUUCCCGUCCGAUCAACUGUAGUUAAGCUGGUAAGAGCCUGACCGAGUAGUGUAGUGGGUGACCAUAUGAUUAUUUUAAAUAGUCUGACAAAUU